rnacentral:miRNA from 1 species
UAAGCCAUCUCUCCAGCCCUCAUAACCAUUUUUUAAAAGUGUAUGGUAUUUGGGCUGGAGAGAUGGCUUAGCAGU